GAAUGAGCCGAAUGAAGAGUUUUAGAGAGAGAAGCUCUCUCCUCUCUCUAAAAGUAGGGGUUUCCUUGUUUGGUGAGCGACGUCUCCCCUCUUGUAGGGGUUCCUCCUCCGUCAUCGGAGCUCCUCUAUGCCAAUAUGGAGGUUGUCUCCUCUUCAAUGGAUGCUUCUCCCCCAUUGUAAGUUUUUCUUCCUUCCUUCUUACUUCUUUGAAUCACUCGUCUCUGUUAGAUCCAUGUCUUAGUCUACCUCAAACCUCCAUCAAGUUUUUCCUCCUCUCUGUCAAUAACCAUCGAAUGCUUGCAACUCCAAAAUCAUUUUCACCAACCAAUGAGCCAAAGUGGUACGGACAUGAAAAACGACCUCCAUCAAAGCCUCCACCACCAAAAACUAUGAAAUUUCUGAGAUUUCGUGUCUUUGUACCUGUAAUAGUUACAGUUAUUGUGUUUGUGUUGUUCAUGUUUGUUCUAUUUUUUGUAUGUGUUGUUCUGUGGUUUAGGUUGUUCUUAUGUUUAAGUUGUUUUAAGUUUGUCUUCAUGAUAUUUGAUGAAAUGCCUCAAAGAAGUUUGGAUGAAGGAGAUGUGUUUUUGAGUGAAAAGCUAACAAAUGAUGUUACAAAUCAAACUCUCAUUUCCAGUCAACAAAUGAUUCCUCUACAAAUUAUGAGUUUAAUCAAACUUGAGAAUUUGUAUAAUCGAACUGUGCGUCUCAAAGUUAAAGAAAUAAUCUGUAAUUUGAUAUAUUUAAAGAUUGUGGUUCCUAAACUCGCUUAUCACAUGUGGAAUAAUUUUGUUAGUUGUCCGGAUUAAGAAAAUGAUGUGUAAUUGGAUUAAUAACUCUCUAUCAAUUUCUAAAUUUUCAAAAUUUAUUGAUAUCCAUAAUUUGAUUGAUUUAAUUAUUAGUAUUGUUUUUGAAAUGUGGAUGAGAAAUAUCCUAACAUAAUAUCUUUC
rnacentral:lncRNA from 1 species